rfam:Pteropus alecto contig81760, whole genome shotgun sequence.
GUCUAUGGCUAUGCCACCCUGAACGUGCCUGAUCUCUUCUGAUCUCGGAAGCUAAGCAGGGUCGGGCCUGGUUAGUAAUUAGAUGGGAGACCACUUAGAAAUACCAGGUGCUAUAGGCU